rnacentral:lncRNA from 13 species
GGAUCAUGCAAACAUUUCUGCGGUAAACAUGAAAACACUUUCCAAGAACUUGAGAACGCUUUAGAAGAAAAGUGUCAAGAGAUGUACAGUGGUGUUGUACAUUUUCACAUUGCACAAGAUAAGAAAUUUCCAAAGAGAGAUAACAUUCUAUGGAGCACUCAAGUCUAUCCCACAAAACCUGGACCUUGUCUAUUUUCAAUGUCUGUGAGGUGAAAACCACAAAAGAAACAUGGAUGGAAUAAAGGGGAAAGGAAGAGCAAUGAACGUUUCAAAAUCAAAGGCCAUAUUCAGAUCUGUAAGAAAAACAAGACAAUUAACUCCCAAGAAGUCAUUACCUCCCCAUCACCAGAUGCCCGCAAUGAAAUCCUAGGCACCUAGACACUGGCCUUCAGACAAGCACCACUGCAGAUAGUAAUACGAGCUGAGUGAGGAAC